UACGUAGGGGGCAAGCGUUGUCCGGAUUUAUUGGGCGUAAGGAGCGUGUAGGCGGCUAGGUAGGUCCGUUGUGAAAACUCGAGGCUCAACCUCGAGACGUCGAUGGAAACCAUCUAGCUAGAGUCCGGAAGAGGAGAGUGGAAUUCCUGGUGUAGCGGUGAAAUGCGCAGAUAUCAGGAAGAACACCCGUGGCGAAGGCGGUUCUCUGGGACGGUACUGACGCUGAGACGCGAAAGCGUGGGAGCGAACAGG
rnacentral:rRNA from 1 species